ensembl:miRNA dre-mir-20a microRNA 20a
UCUUAAAUAAAUCUCCUAAUGUUGCAGUUGUGUUAGAGUUUCAGCAGUGCUAAAGUGCUUAUAGUGCAGGUAGUAUUUCUGUCAUCUACUGCAGUGUGAGCACUUGAAGUACUUCUAGCUUAAUGCGUCUGGGAUCCGAAGAUUUCUGCUAGA